rnacentral:rRNA from 1 species
CCCUUAGAUGUCCUGGGCCGCACGCGCGCUACACUGACAUGUUCAACAAGUUUCUCCUAGUUCGACAGGACUGGGAAAUCUUUGAACGCAUGUCGUGAUAGGGAUAGAUCAUUGCAAUUAUUGAUCUUGAACGAGGAAUUCCUAGUAAACGCGAGUCAUCAGCUCGCAUUGAUUACGUCCUUGCCCUUUGUACACACCGCCCGUCGCACCUACCGAUUGAAUGUUUCGGUGAAGAUUCCGGAUAGGACUGAUUUGAUUUAUUUCAUUUCUGACCUAAAAGCUAUCUAAACCUCAACAUUUAGAGGAAGGUGAAGUCGUAACA